AGCGAACGCUGGCGGCGUGCUUAACACAUGCAAGUCGAGUGCGUAGCCCUUUGUAGCAAUACAGAGGGUGGGCGCACGGCGCACGGGUGAGUAACACGUGGGUAACCUGCCCUUCGGUGGGGAAUAACCCGCGAAAGCGGGGCUAAUUCCGCAUAACAUUCCGGGGACACAUGUUCUCGGACUCAAAGGAGUGAUUCGCCGGAGGAGGGGCCCGCGCCCGAUUAGCUUGUUGGUAGGGGUAACGGCCACCAAGGCUUUGAUCGGUAGCCGGUCUGAGAGGAUGGCCGGCCACACUGGAACUGAGACACGGUCCAGACUCCUACGGGAGGCAGCAGUGGGGAAUCUUGCGCAAUGGGCGAAAGCCUGACGCAGCGACG
rnacentral:rRNA from 1 species